GUUCAGCCCUUAGACAAAGAAAAUCUCACAAGCACUCAUAAACACUCAUUUUCAUCUCUAUAAUAUGUUCUUCUAAUUGUUUUGGGUUGAUUCGCCGCAGUGUUUUAGUGUAAAAGGCUGUAGUUUCUGUAUGUAGACUUUUUUUCCCUUCAAGUGUUCAGAAGUCUCGCGCUGUCAGACAGGCUGCAGCAAAUAUUUCAUUUUAACACUCACAAACAUCUGAAUUUAGCUCUUGGUGUGUUCUAAUGGGUGGAUUGUGUGCAAUCGCCGUAAUAUUUUAUUUUUAAAAGGUCUUAAACAAGAAUAAACUCGUUUGUUGUGAGCUCUUUGAGACAGCACGCGCUGUUCGGAGCGGUGAUUUCUCUCUCGUCUAUCUCUCUGUUCUCUGGCCAUACAUCAAUUAUUAAUGAGCCCUGACCCGCUAAUAAUAAGAUAUGUUGGUUUAGCUUGUCAGUGUGAAUCAAAUGUAUUUAUUUAUUUGUAUUUUUAACCGAUUUAAAAGUGAAACUAAGCGAGACUCCUCCCUCUCAGUCCCGGGAAUUGCUCCUGUAGAGGCGCAAUUUCUCUCAGACAAUGAAAGUCUCAG
ensembl:lncRNA